UACGUAGGGGGCUAGCGUUGUCCGGAAUCAUUGGGCGUAAAGCGCGUGUAGGCGGCCCGGUAAGUCCGCUGUGAAAGUCGGGGGCUCAACCCUCGAAAGCCGGUGGAUACUGUCGGGCUCGAGUACGGGAGAGGCGAGUGGAAUUCCUGGUGUAGCGGUGGAAUGCGCAGAUAUCAGGAGGAACACCGGUGGCGAAGGCGGGUCUCUGGGCCGUUACUGACGCUGAGGAGCGAAAGCGUGGGAGCGAACAGG
rnacentral:rRNA from 1 species